AUGAAGAAGAAUAAGAUUGGGAGAAACGGACGCGCUCUAGAUUGGGAGAAGAUGAAGACAACUGGAGAAGCAAAGAAGGGAACGGCAAAACAAGACGACGAAAAACGAAGGAGGUUUGAAGCGUGGAAAGACCAGAGGAGGAACCUGAUGGCAUCUCCACUAGGGUCGCCGGGAAGCCCACCAGAAGCACUUUUUCAGCGCCGGCAGUCAAAAACGGUCCCAGUCACGUCUUCACGGACUCGUUUUUCGCCGGUAUUAGCUAAAACUACGGCCGGCGCUGGCAAGAGAAACCCACAAAGCUGGGGGGUCAGCCGGGGGCGCCCGCACUAUCUUUUGCAUGCGAAAACCCCACACGUCGGCGUCUGUCCCCACAUCUCUCUCUCUCUCCCCCGUCGCUUUCUCCGCCCCCACCUCCCCUCGCCCCGUCCACUUUUUUCUCUCUCAACGAGCUCGUCGCGGCAGGGCAUGGUCGACAUCGAGCUCGGGCACGGCAGGUGCGUCGCUGCCGCCACCGCGGAGCUCGACGAGGCCGUCCUGGCCACGUGCCCGACGACGGCCCUCUGGAGCUACACCCGCGCCACCAUGCCCGACGGCAAGGGCAGGACGGUGAGGGCAGGACGGCGAGGGAAGUGCAGGACGGUGAGGGCAGGACGGCGAGGGAGGUCGAGGGAGGUGCAGGACGGCGAGGGCAAGGCGCGAGCAGGCCACGGAGGGCGCGCGCGGGCAGGCCCCUUCCUCCUCCUCCCUCCUCUCCGUCCUCGCGCCCCCCUUCCUUCUCCUUCCUCCUCCCUCCUCUCCUCGCUCGUUGACCUCGCGGGCGGUGUGGCUGCUGCACAUGUCGUGCCAAGGAGGGAUGGUGGUACGCGGCGGCGAGGCCCGUGCCAAGGAGUGUGCGCCGGACGGUGGCAGGCGUCCUCGAUGGUGCUGGAGACGGUGUCGAGCUGCGGUGCCGCCACGCGUCCUCGAAAUGCGUCUUGGGUGGGGGGACGGCUCGGAAAAAUUUUGUCCCAGGGUCAAAAUCUUCGCCGGCAGCCCCCCAGGCGGCGAAAAAAACGCCUCCUGGGGAGGCCAACGGCUGGAGAUGCCAUGAGGCGUGUGCGUUGGUAUGUGUCCGACUACUGGAGCGGGCUUGAAAGAGCCAAUGUCGUAUGUGCUAGGUUGGCAAAUCUGAGGGAGGGUUAUGCAAACACCAAAUUCUUCCACCGUCGCAUCAAUGCCGGUAGGCGAAAAAACCACAUUCACCGGUUGAAGCAUGCACAGGGUUGGGUGACUGAGCACAAGGAAAAAGAAAAGAUCAUCCACGACCACUUCUCCGAGGUCAUGGGGCGGACAUGCACGAUUUGGCAACUAAAGAAGGUGGAUUUCCAAUACCUUAAGGAUAAGGGGGCCAGAAAACUGGUUACCUGGGAGGGCCAAAACAUCACUACCAUUGGUCAUACGACACUUCUUAGGUCGGUCAUCUCCUCCCAAGUAGUGUUCUCCAUCACGCCCUUCAUCGUGCCUCAGGGCUCUCUCAAUAGCCUAAACAAGAUUGAGAGGGCCUUUCUUUGGUCAGGUGCGGACAAGACAACGGGAGUCAAAUGCAAGGUCAACUGGAAGGUGGUUUGUAGACCAUAA
rnacentral:rRNA from 1 species